rnacentral:rRNA from 1 species
CGGAAUUACUGGGCGUAAAGCGUGCGCAGGCGGCGCGUUAAGACAGGUGUGAAAGCCCCGAGCUUAACUUGGGAAUUGCGCUUGUGACUGGCGUGCUGGAGUGUGGCAGAGGGAGGUGGAAUUCCACGUGUAGCAGUGAAAUGCGUAGAGAUGUGGAGGAACACCGAUGGCGAAGGCAGCCUCCUGGGCCAGCACUGACGCUCAUGCACGAAAGCGUGGGGAGCAAACAGG